CUCAAAUAAUGGAAAGGCCAAAUGGCCUUUCCAAAGCAGAGGCCGUGCGCCUCUGCUGUCUCAAAAGAAAAGAAGAAAAAAAAUGAAAAGAGGUCAUUUGACCCGAGAGAAAAAGAAAUAGGAAGGAGAUGAUUUUUCAUACAAAAAUUAUGAUCUAUGAAGAUCCAACCGUCCGAACUCAAAUCCGAUUUCAGUAACGUAAUCUACGAAGCCCGAUCUACGUUUCUACCGAUCGUUUUGAGGCUUUGUGUUAUUUGGAGAUUGCAAAGAUUUCCCAAAUACCGGGUAUUAUUUGGGUAAAUUUUUGGGAUAGUGUCCGGAUUGGAGUCUUUAAUGGGUUCUCCAAUGUAGAAUUCGAGUCAUGGUCCAAUGCAGCCAAGAUGAUGUUCUUUUGGCUGCAGGUAUUCCGGUCGUGGUUGAUAGCAUUGUAGAAGGGUAUUUUGGAUGUUAUGACUGAAGCACACCGCAACGGUCGUAAUUGGUGGACCACGGGUUGUCCACUUGUUUAUAGGUUUGGUUUAUGGCUUGUGACGUUUGUGUCACUUGUUAUUGUACAAAACCAUUUAUGUCACUUAUUUAAUUCGUGGAAAGAUUUAAUCAUAUAGAUAUUUAAUGGCUCUUUGUUGUAAUUAUUGGUGAUAGAUGUAUAAGAUGUGAUUUCCACUAUUAGGUUA